UACGUAGGGGGCUAGCGUUGUCCGGAAUCAUUGGGCGUAAAGAGCGCGUAGGCGGCCCGGUAAGUCCGCUGUAAAAGUCCAGGGCUCAACCCUGGAAAGCCGGUGGAUACUGUCGGGCUCGAGUCCGGAAGAGGCGAGUGGAAUUCCUGGUGUAGCGGUGGAAUGCGCAGAUAUCAGGAGGAACACCGGUGGCGAAGGCGGCCUACUGGGCCAGCACUGACGCUGAGGCGCGAAAGCUCGGGGAGCGAACGGG
rnacentral:rRNA from 1 species